rnacentral:rRNA from 1 species
AGUGAACGUUGGCGGCGUGGAUUAGGCAUGCAAGUCGUGCGGAAAGGCCCCGCAAGGGGUACUCGAGCGGCGUAAGGGAUAGUAACACGUGGGUCACCUACCCCCGGGACUGGGAUAGCUGCGGGAAACUGCAGGUAAUACCGGAUAACGUCUCCGGACCAAAGGUGUGAUUCCGCCCGGGGAGGGGCCCGCGUCCUAUUAGCUAGUUGGCAGGGUAACGGCCUACCAAGGCUAAGAUGGGUAGGGGGUGUGAGAGCAUGACCCCCAUCACUGGGACUGAGACACUGCCCAGACACCUACGGGUGGCUGCAGUCGAGAAUCUUCGGCAAUGGGCGCAAGCCUGACCGAGCGACGCCGCGUGCGGGAUGAAGGCCCUCGGGUUGUAAACCGCUGUCAGAGGGAUGGAAAUGCUGGGGGGUUCUCCCUUCAGUUUGACUGACCCUCAGAGGAAGUACGGGCUAAGUUCGUGCCAGCCGCCGCGGUAA